rnacentral:rRNA from 1 species
GAUGAACGCUGGCGGUCUGCUUAACACAUGCAAGUCGAACGGGCUCUUCGGAGCUAGUGGCGGACGGGUGAGUAACGCGUGAGGAUCUGCCCUUAGGACGGGGACAACAGCUGGAAACGGCUGCUAAUACCCGAUGUGCCGAGAGGUGAAACUAUUUGGCCUGAGGAUGAGCUCGCGUCUGAUUAGCUAGUUGGAGUGGUAACGGCACACCAAGGCGACGAUCAGUAGCUGGUCUGAGAGGAUGAUCAGCCACACUGGGACUGAGACACAGCCCAGACUCCUACGGGAGGCAGCAGUGGGGAAUUUUCCGCAAUGGGCGCAAGCCUGACGGAGCAAGACCGCGUGAGGGAAGAAGGUCUGUGGAUUGUAAACCUCUUUUGAUAGGGAAGAAGACAGUGACGGUACCUAUCGAAUCAGCCUCGGCUAACUCCGUGCCAGCAGCCGCGGUAAUACGGAGGAGGCAAGCGUUAUCCGGAAUUAUUGGGCGUAAAGAGUCCGUAGGUGGGUAACCAAGUCAGCUGUUAAAUAGUGAAGCUUAACUUCAUAGAGGCGGCUGAAACUGGUUGUCUAGAGUGUGGUAGGGGUAGAGGGAAUUUCCAGUGUAGCGGUGAAAUGCGUAGAGAUCAGGAAGAACACCAGUGGCGAAGGCGCUCUGCUAGGCCGUAACUGACACUGAGGGACGAAAGCUAGGGAGCG